rnacentral:rRNA from 1 species
CCUACGGGUGGCAGCAGUGGGGAAUAUUGCACAAUGGGGGAAACCCUGAUGCAGCGACGCCGCGUGAGUGAAGAAGUAAUUCGUUAUGUAAAGCUCUAUCAGCAGGGAAGAAAAUGACGGUACCUGAGUAAGAAGCCCCGGCUAACUACGUGCCAGCAGCCGCGGUAAUACGUAGGGGGCAAGCGUUAUCCGGAUUUACUGGGUGGAAAGGGAGCGUAGACGGCAGUGCAAGUCUGGAGUGAAAGCCCGGGGCUCAACCCCGGGACUGCUUUUGAAACUGUUGAACUAGAUUGCAGGAGAGGUAAGUGGAAUUACUAGUGUAGCGGUGAAAUGCGUAGAUAGUAGGAGGAACACCAGUGGCGAAGGCGGCUUACUGGACUGUAAAUGACGCUGAGGCUCGAAAGCGUGGGGAGCAAACAGGAUUAGAUACCCCGGUAGUC